GGGAAUAUUGGACAAUGGGGGCAACCCUGAUCCAGCCAUGCCGCGUGUGUGAAGAAGGCUUUCGGGUUGUAAAGCACUUUCAGCGAGGAGGAAAAGUUGGUCGUUAAUAGCGGCCAGCCGUGACGUUACUCGCAGAAGAAGCACCGGCUAACUCCGUGCCAGCAGCCGCGGUAAUACGGAGGGUGCAAGCGUUAAUCGGAAUUACUGGGCGUAAAGCGCGCGUAGGUGGUUUGAUAAGCGAGAUGUGAAAGCCUCGGGCUUAACCUGAGAACGGCAUUUCGAACUGUCAGGCUAGAGUGUGGUAGAGGGUAGUGGAAUUUCCUGUGUAGCGGUGAAAUGCGUAGAUAUAGGAAGGAACACCAGUGGCGAAGGCGGCUACCUGGACCAACACUGACACUGAGGUGCGAAAGCGUGGGGAGCAAA
rnacentral:rRNA from 1 species